UUAUAUUUAAUGCGUUUCCCUUAGUUUUACUUUGUAACCCGGAUUUGUUUUUUUCUAUCGAUUUAUGAGUUUCGAACAGCGGUAUACUUCUGUUGCCUUUAUUUCACAGAGAUUAGAAUCGUCUUAUUCAUUGAUUCUAUACCCCUGAAAAAUUAGAAAAUAAGAAAGUCUAACUUUUACAGCCACGAAAUGUUUGAGUUUACACAAGUUUUACGUUAAUUAUUACGACCAUAUAUUGUAAUACUAAAACACGCAAUACACACCUGCAUAAUUGCAUGUUUAUCUACCUACUGUAUUUGGUUUUCCUGAUAAUAAUACUAUACCUUAUAGGUUUAUAGUUUGAUACAAAAAAAUAAAUAACACAUCGGGAUAAUUAUAGUAUAUCAUUCAAAUCAUUCUAGAAAGGUGUAUUAGCAAAACUACAACUUGAGAUCAUUAAUCAACAACAAUGUAAACAAGCAUUAGCCUUUCAAAAAGGGCUAGUCGAUUCUUAGCUGAUGAAAAUGGAAAGUGCUCUCGCUUUGUAGAUUUAUUCAUUUACUAGAAUAACCACGUGCAUCAAUCAACAAAUUUUACCACACACGUGAGGUCACACGUUAUGAAGUGGUAUAUAUCGUUUAACGUUGUUGUUUAUGCCCGCGUCACACUGUCCCG
rnacentral:lncRNA from 1 species